rnacentral:rRNA from 1 species
UGAGCAACCUGCCCUUGACUCUGGAAUAACAGUUGGAAACAGCUGCUAAUACCGGAUACGACCUCCGACGGCAUCAUCUGGAGGCGGAAAGCUCCGACGGUCAAGGAUGGGCUCGCGGCCUAUCAGCUUGUUGGUGAGGUAACGGCUCACCAAGGCUUCGACGGGUAGCCGGCCUGAGAGGGCGACCGGCCACACUGGGACUGAGAUACGGCCCAGACUCCUACGGGAGCAG